UCUCACGCACGCCCAUUUACUGUCGAGUUUAUAGUCAUCAAGCAGUCCUUAAUUUUAAGAUGAUAUCAACAUUUAUAUUCCUGGUUAUAGGGUGUUGUCAAGAAUUUCAUCACACCCACUACUUUCCCACCGAGGUAGUUUCCGCCUGCAGCCAUGCACAAGUGUCGUCACCUACAUCUCCUCUAUGCGUUCCUGUCUCUCCAUGCCGCACGAGGAUGCAGUCAUCACAUCCUUGAGUAGUUUGCAGGUGUUUCUUGUAGUGAUGUUAACCCCAUAAAAAAGGACUCGCAGGUGGACAUAUGAUAUAUAUAAUCAGUGGAAGACUUCUCUUUUUGAUUGACUCUGGAUCUAAAGAAGCGUAAGCAUGUAGAGGAACUGGUGGUCCACCUUGCUGCUGCAAAUGGACUGCCCGAUUUUGUCCAUGUGUUGGACUAGAUGAUAUUUGAUGAUUUGAACCUUGCAACGGGGCGUGAGACUGCAGCAUGCUGUGUACAUAAGCAGGGAGUUGAGGGGCAGAACUGAAGGUAGACUCAGGUGCAGUUAUCCACUCCUUGCUUUCACUAGAAGAGCGUACUACGCGGUGAAAGCAAGAUCAUGCUGUACAGGCGUGCAGCUGUGAGAAAUACAGUGAUGGCUCCGUCUGAGUUCUCUAGCCCUCCUCUGCAAUUACAGGUUUGGGUGCACACUCCGCAAAUGAUGAUGGUUCAGCAGAGAUAGCAUUGCUCUGUAUUACAUAACUAUGUUCUGUCAGUCAAGUAUCGUUACGAUGCAAUAGGCAGAGGCUUCAAAAUUAUCUGCGGAGUAAGCGAUAGGAAGCCGUUGUGCAAUAAAUGUGCUCGUAUAGACGAACGCCGUUGGUACAAAAUCUCGAUCACAUGGGCCCAUAUCAUCAGCUCACAUCAGAGCCGGCUUACCAAUGUCGGAUGGCAUCGGUUUUAUUACUCCACAGAUGUGGGUCAUCGGCCAAGAGAAAAGAUGGGAUAACAAAUAUUAUGGAUACAAGAUGGCAGCAUAUAACUUUGCAAUUUUAUGAUUUGUGAUCCGGUAGAUUUUUGCCAUGCGGAGGGCUGAUGAUUCUGGCUAUAUGCACUGGAGUUUAAUCCAUGUUUGUGAACUAAUUAGAUAUCUAUCUAUGUGAAUUUUGAGAUACAUAUGUGUUUAAGAUGAUUUGAGAGUGCCCUUACCGGUCAUGCUAAUUCGAUUGUUCUAAUUUGUGUUCCUUUUUUACUUAACUGACAUGUAUUUUCACCAUUAAAUGUAAUAAUUAAUAUUGGCUGUGUUCCACAGUGCAAUACACAAUGAAUGGGAUUUUCCUUGCCAUGAGGUGAG